UACAGAGGUGGCAAGCGUUGUCCGGAUUUAUUGGGUUUAAAGGGUGCGUAGGUGGCUAACUAAGUCAGUGGUGAAAUAUCUCAGCUUAACUGAGAGGGUGCCAUUGAUACUGGAUAGCUUGAGUACAGAUGAGGUAGGCGGAAUUGACGGUGUAGCGGUGAAAUGCAUAGAUAUCGUCAAGAACACCGAUAGCGAAGGCAGCUUACCAAGCUGUAACUGACACUGAGGCACGAAAGUGUGGGGAUCAAACAGG
rnacentral:rRNA from 1 species